GACGAACGCUGGCGGCGUGCUUAACACAUGCAAGUCGAACGACGAAGAAAAGAAUCGUUGCUUCGGCAGAAAUUCAUUUCGGAUUAGUGGCAGACGGGUGAGUAACCCGUGAUCAACCUACCUCUUACAAAGGGAUAGCCUCGGGAAACCGGGAUUAAUACCAUAUAACAUUGUGACGAAGCAUUUCGCUGCAAUCAAAGCUACGGCGGUAAGAGAUGGGCUCGUGUCCGAUUAACCGGAUGGCGGGGUAACGGCUCACCAUAGGGACGAUGGGUAACCGGGCGGAGAGGAGGAGCAGACACACGGGAAAGGAGACACGGGCAAGACGACUGAGGGAGGCAGAAGUGGGGAAUAUUGGACAAUGGGCGAAAGCGUGAUCAAGCAAUAAAGCGGGGGGGAAGAAGGCCGUCGGGUAGUAAAGAAAGUGUGUUGGGAAAGAAAAGAAGCAGGUUAAUACCCAGCUGUUGGGACGGUAACCAAAGAAUAAGCAACGGCUAACUUCGGG
rnacentral:rRNA from 1 species